rnacentral:lncRNA from 1 species
UGAUCAAAUAUCAAAACCUCCCCUUGUUUGUUGAAAUUUAUCAUUUGUCCUGUACUGUUUUAAAACCUAUCAACAAUCUCUCUAUUGUUAAAGGGUCUUUUACAGUUCGAUUUUAAUUGUAUCUUUUUCUAUUUUACCGAUAAAAUCAAAAUUAUGAUUUAAAAUACUUUUGUUUGUUAAAUUGUUAGUAGCUAACUCCACAGAGAUCGGCAAUUUUAUUAUUUUUUUCCCCUCCAUGAAACCUUGAUGGAUAUGAGCGUUUAGAACAUGAGGCAGUAGACUAUUAAUUUACUAGAACAACAAUGGGGUUUUGAUCAUAUUUCUGCAUCAAAACUAGUAAUUUAUUUUAUAAAUUUGAAAUCAAUCCAUUAUAAGACUGAGAAGAUCGAUUUUACAUUGGAAAAUAAAUUUUUGCAGGUGGUGGAAAGAUAUUGAUUUUGCAACAAAGCUACCUUUUGCAAGGGAUAGGUUGGUGGAGUGCUACUUUUGGAUAUUAGGAGUUUAUUUUGAGCCUAAAUAUUCCACAACUAGAAAAUUUAUGACCAAAAUCAUCGCAAUAGCUUCUGUCAUAGAUGAUAUCUAUGAUGUGUAUGGCACUUUGGAAGAACUUAAGCUAUUCACUCAUGCAAUCGAGAGGUGUGUGCAAAUUAAUAAGUAUUAAUAAUGUGGCAGUCGAUUUUUCGUAUAAUCAAAGUACAGUAUCCACAUUGUUUUUGGUAGGUGGGAAGUUGUGGCAGCAAAUGAGUUACCAAAAUACAUGCAAGUCUGUUAUUUUGCCCUCUUAGAUGUUGUCAAAGAAAUGGAGGACAAGCUGGUGAAUAAAGAACCACUUUGUUGCAUGUACUAUGCAAAAGAGGCGGUAAGUACACUCAUAAUCAUGAAUAUACUCAUUAUCAAUUUUUUUUAAUUGAUAUACACAAAUAAAUACAUAUAUGGCUAUCCAAAUUGAAUAAUUAAUUUACUUUAUUCUCUCUCAGAUAAAAGGGCUGGUAAGGGCUUACUUUGUGGAAGCAAAGUGGUUCCAUGCGAAAUAUGUGCCAACAUUUGAAGAAUGUGUGGAGAAUUCUACAAUGAGCAGUGGAUACCCCAUGCUUGCUGUUGAAGCUCUUGUAGGCUUAGAAGAUAUGGCAAUUACCAAGCGAGCACUUGAUUGGGCGAUUAGUGUUCCUAAAAUUAUUAGAUCUUCCUCCUUGAUUGCUCGCCUUGAUGACGACGUCCAUACGUACAAGGUAUGACUAUAUCGAUAAAGAAUUUAUGACCAAAUACCAAAUUAAAGGAAUUUUAACUACUUAAUUUAGGGAGAAUGAUACUGGAGAUACCUUUGCACAGAGGGAUGCCAAGAUUGGAGGCAAGGCAGUAUAUUUCCAUCUAUGAAGCAGACAAUUCAACACGAAAUGAGCUAAUAUUAGAACUUGCAAAGCUAGAUUUUAAUCUUUUGCAGGCGUUACACCGGAUAGAGCUAAGUGAGAUCUCAAGGUGAUCAAAUAUCAAAACCUCCCCUUGUUUGUUGAAAUUUAUCAUUUGUCAUGUACUGUUUUAAAACGUAUCAAAAAUCCUGUCUAUUGUUAAAGGAUCCUUUACAGUUCGAUUUUACCCAUAAAAUUAUGAUUUAAAAUAAUUUUGUUUGUUAAAUUGCUAGUAGCUAACUCCACAGAGAUCGGCAAUUUUUUUUUCCCUCCAUGAAACCUUGAUGGAUAUGAGAGUUUAGAACACGAGGACGAUUAAUUUACUAGAACAACAAUGGGGUUUUGAUCAUAUUUCUGCAUCAAAACUAGUAAUUUACUUUAUGAAUUUGAAAUCAAUCCAUUAUAAGACUGAAAAGAUCGAUUUUACAUUGGAAAAUCAUAAAUUUUUGCAGGUGGUGGAAAGAUAUUGAUUUUGCAACAAAGCUACCUUUUGCAAGGGAUAGGUUGGUGGAGUGCUACUUUUGGAUAUUAGGAGUCUAUUUUGAGCCUAAAUAUUCCAUAACUAGAAAAUUUAUGACCAAAAUCAUCGCAAUAGCUUCUGUCAUAGAUGAUAUCUAUGAUGUGUAUGGCACUUUGGAAGAACUUAAGCUAUUCACUCAUGCAAU